rnacentral:sRNA from 1 species
AGGAUCAUUAGUGAAUCUAGGACGUCCAACUUAACUUGGAGUCCGAACUCUCACUUUCUAACCCUGUGCAUCUGUUAAUUGGAAUAGUAGCUCUUCGGAGUGAACCACCAUUCACUUAUAAAACACAAAGUCUAUGAAUGUAUACAAAUUUAUAACAAAACAAAACUUUCAACAACGGAUCUCUUGGCUCUCGCAUCGAUGAAGAACGCAGCGAAAUGCGAUACGUAAUGUGAAUUGCAGAAUUCAGUGAAUCAUCGAAUCUUUGAACGCACCUUGCGCUCCUUGGUAUUCCGAGGAGCAUGCCUGUUUGAGUGUCAUGAAAUCUUCAACCCACCUCUUUCUUAGUGAAUCUGGUGGUGCUUGGUUUCUGAGCGCUGCUCUGCUUCGGCUUAGCUCGUUCGUAAUGCAUUAGCAUCCGCAACCGAACUUCGGAUUGACUUGGCGUAAUAGACUAUUCGCUGAGGAUUCUAGUUUACUAGAGCCGAGUUGGGUUAAAGGAAGCUCCUAAUCCUAAAGUCUAUUUUUUGAUUAGAUCUCAAAUCAGGUAGGACUACCCGCUGAACUUAAGCAUAUCAAUAAGCGGAGGAAAAGAAACUAACAAGGAUUCCCCUAGUAGCGGCGAGCGAAGCGGGAAGAGCUCAAAUUUAUAAUCUGGCACCUUCGGUGUCCGAGUUGUAAUCUCUAGAAGUG